rnacentral:lncRNA from 1 species
AAUGUAAUAAAUAAGUGUGAAUGCCACAUAGGUGCGGAGUUCUAGAUAAAUAAUGGUGUUCCUCUAGGAUAUAGGUCCGCAGUCAUAACACGGACGGCCCGUACUUCGUGACGUCGACGAAACUGUCGUUCCAUUUCGAGACGGUGCCCAAACACGUCGCGCUGUUCUUCGAGAAGUCCAAGGAUGGCCGCGUGAGCCCCGUCAAGAACGUGGACAUCGUGGCUCCACCUACAGCCUCGCCGUCAACGAGAAUGGUGCCCUAUUCCUGUUUGAGCAAACAAAGAAAACCGAAGAAGCAAACAUGUGCCCCAAACCAGAGCAUGAUUUUACUGGCUGUAACAUUCGCAGCAUGGGCACGAGUACUCAAUACUGUACUAACACUUCAAUAGUGCUGACGGCGGACGACUCCGUGAUAGCGUGGGGCGUGUCGCCCACCUACGGAGAACUGGUCAGUACAGGCACAUCCUUGGAAUUAUGGCUGAUAACAUCACUAUUAUCACAAUAAGUUUAAGCAUCUCCGGGAGCAUCGGAAGCUUAUGGCUUUGGUUUUAAUUUUAUUAGGACACG